rnacentral:rRNA from 1 species
AGCUUGGCUUCUUUGCUGACGAGUGGCGGACGGGUGAGUAAUGUCUGGGAAACUGCCUGAUGGAGGGGGAUAACUACUGGAAACGGUAGCUAAUACCGCAUAACGUCGCAAGACCAAAGAGGGGGACCUUCGGGCCUCUUGCCAUCGGAUGUGCCCAGAUGGGAUUAGCUAGUAGGUGGGGUAACGGCUCACCUAGGCGACGAUCCCUAGCUGGUCUGAGAGGAUGACCAGCCACACUGGAACUGAGACACGGUCCAGACUCCUACGGGAGGCAGCAGUGGGGAAUAUUGCACAAUGGGCGCAAGCCUGAUGCAGCCAUGCCGCGUGUAUGAAGAAGGCCUUCGGGUUGUAAAGUACUUUCAGCGGGGAGGAAGGGAGUAAAGUUAAUACCUUUGCUCAUUGACGUUACCCGCAGAAGAAGCACCGGCUAACUCCGUGCCAGCAGCCGCGGUAAUACGGAGGGUGCAAGCGUUAAUCGGA